rnacentral:rRNA from 1 species
ACUUAGUGGCAGACGGGUGAGUAACAUGUGGGUAUCUACCCUUUGGCCUGGAAUAACACGAGGAAACUUGUGCUAAUACCGGAUAAGUCUUUACGGAGAAAGCUUUAUGCACCAUUGGAUGAGCCCGCACUUGAUUAGUUUGUUGGUAGGGUAAUGGCCUACCAAGACUAUGAUCAAUAGCUGAUUUGAGAGGAUGAUCAGCCACAUUGGGACUGAGACACGGCCCAAACUCCUACGGGAGGCAGCAGUGGGGAAUCUUGCACAAUGGAGGAAACUCUGAUGCAGCGAUGCCGCGUGAGUGAAGAAGGCCUUUGGGUUGUAAAGCUCUUUCGUCGGGGAAGAAAAUGACUGUACCCGAAUAAGAAGGUCCGGCUAACUUCGUGCCAGCAGCCGCGGUAAUACGAGGGGACCUAGCGUAGUUCGGAAUUACUGGGCUUAAAGAGUUCGUAGGUGGUUGAAAAAGUUGGUGGUGAAAUCCCAGAGCUUAACUCUGGAACUGCC